CGAGCGAAGCGGGAAGAGCUCAAAUUUAUAAUCUGGCACCUUCGGUGUCCGAGUUGUAAUCUCUAGAAAUGUUUUCCGCGUUGGACCGCACACAAGUCUGUUGGAAUACAGCGGCAUAGUGGUGAGACCCCCGUAUAUGGUGCGGACGCCCAGCGCUUUGUGAUACAUUUUCGAAGAGUCGAGUUGUUUGGGAAUGCAGCUCAAAUUGGGUGGUAAAUUCCAUCUAAAGCUAAAUAUUGGCGAGAGACCGAUAGCGAACAAGUACCGUGAGGGAAAGAUGAAAAGCACUUUGGAAAGAGAGUUAACAGUACGUGAAAUUGUUGGAAGGGAAACGCUUGAAGUCAGACUUGCUUGCCGAGCAAUCGGUUUGCAGGCCAGCAUCAGUUUUCCGGGAUGGAUAAUGGUAGAGAGAAGGUAGCAGUUUCGGCUGUGUUAUAGCUCUCUGCUGGAUACAUCUUGGGGGACUGAGGAACGCAGUGUGCCUUUGGCGGGGGUUUCGACCUCUUCACACUUAGGAUGCUGGUGGAAUGGCUUUAAACGACCCGUCUU
rnacentral:rRNA from 1 species